GAUACCGCCCUAGUUCUAACCAUAAACGAUGCCAACCAGCGAUCCGCCUGGGUUCCUCAAAUGACUCGGCGGGCAGCUUCCGGGAAACCAAAGUCUUUGGGUUCCGGGGGGAGUAUGGUUGCAAAGCUGAAACUUGAAGGAAUUGACGGAAGGGCACCACCAGGUGUGGAGCAUGCGGCUUAAUUUGACUCAACACGCGGAAACUCACCCGAACCGAGCACUGGAAGGAUUGACAGAUUAAGAGCUCUUUCUUGAUUCAGUGGGUGGUGGUGCAUGGCCGCUUUUAGUUGGUGGAGCGAUUUGUCAGCUUAAUUGCGAUAACGAACGAGACUCUAGCCUGCUAAAUAGGCGCUCCGAUCCCUUGCGUCGGACGCUCUUCUUAGAGGGACAGGCGGCGUUUAGCCGCACGAAACAGAGCAACAGCAGGUCUGUGAUGCCCUUAGAUGCUCGGGGCCGCACGCGCGCUACACUGAAGGAAUCAGCGUGUGCUCUCCCUGUCCGGCAGGACUGGGUAACCCGUUGAACCUCCUUCGUGAUAGGGAUAGGGGCUUGUAAUUGUUCCCCUUGAACGAGGAAUACCCAGUAAGCGCGAGUCAUCAGCUCGUGUUGAUUAUGUCCCUGCCCUUUGUACACACCGCCCGUCGCUACCUCCGAU
rnacentral:rRNA from 1 species